rnacentral:rRNA from 1 species
GAUGAACGCUGGCGGCGUGCCUAAUACAUGCAAGUCGAGCGAACAGACGAGGAGCUUGCUCCUCUGACGUUAGCGGCGGACGGGUGAGUAACACGUGGAUAACCUACCUAUAAGACUGGGAUAACUUCGGGAAACCGGAGCUAAUACCGGAUAAUAUAUUGAACCGCAUGGUUCAAUAGUGAAAGACGGUUUUGCUGUCACUUAUAGAUGGAUCCGCGCCGCAUUAGCUAGUUGGUAAGGUAACGGCUUACCAAGGCGACGAUGCGUAGCCGACCUGAGAGGGUGAUCAGCCACACUGGAACUGAGACACGGUCCAGACUCCUACGGGAGGCAGCAGUAGGGAAUCUUCCACAAUGGGCGAAAGCCUGACGGAGCAACGCCGCGUGAGUGAUGAAGGUCUUCGGAUCGUAAAACUCUGUUAUUAGGGAAGAACGAAUGUGUAAGUAACUAUGCACGUCUUGACGGUACCUAAUCAGAAAGCCACGGCUAACUACGUG